AUCUUCCACAAUGGACGAAAGUCUGAUGGAGCAACGCCGCGUGAGUGAAGAAGGGUUUCGGCUCGUAAAGCUCUGUUGGUAGUGAAGAAAGAUAGAGGUAGUAACUGGCCUUUAUUUGACGGUAAUUACUUAGAAAGUCACGGCUAACUACGUGCCAGCAGCCGCGGUAAUACGUAGGUGGCAAGCGUUGUCCGGAUUUAUUGGGCGUAAAGCGAGUGCAGGCGGUUCAAUAAGUCUGAUGUGAAAGCCUUCGGCUCAACCGGAGAAUUGCAUCAGAAACUGUUGAACUUGAGUGCAGAAGAGGAGAGUGGAACUCCAUGUGUAGCGGUGGAAUGCGUAGAUAUAUGGAAGAACACCAGUGGCGAAGGCGGCUCUCUGGUCUGCAACUGACGCUGAGGCUCGAAAGCAUGGGUAGCGAA
rnacentral:rRNA from 1 species